GUGAAUCCAAAUAUCACUUUAAGAAAAGGAAUUGCAGUCGUAGUUUGAACGUAAAAACUCUUGUUUUCGGGUAAUUCUGUCAAGAGGGAUACAUGUGAUCUGUAUAGAAAGAAGGAAAAGAGAAAAAAACAAGAAAAAAGAAAAACCAGAGGAUACACUUGGGAUGUGAAAGAGCCACCAAGCAACCUCAUCCUCCCAAAUCAUUCAGGUGAAAGCCAGAAUAGACUGGUUUGACACCCUCUGAUCAAAUAUAUGCAGUUUCAUGAAGGAUGGUGGUGGCUGAGCAACUCUUGCAUAACCAAAAGCUUCAGUUACAAUAUCUCAGGGGGAGAAAAAGAACAUAAAAAAAGAAAAGGUUCAAGACAGACAGAGAAAUAUACGCAACGCUUCUCCUCGGCUUGAUUCGGUUGGCUUUUCCGUGAAGAAACAGAGCAUCAUCAUCUUCAAUCAAUCUCAUGCCUCUAGCGAAAGAACAAAGAACAAAGCCCCAUGCAAGUUUCACUGUCUCUGUUUCUCACUGUUUGCUCGAAUGUAGUAAAAUCUGCGCUUCGCUUUCAGCACCUAUUGUGAAUGGGGUCUGAUCCUCUAGGAACUCUUCUCUUCUGGGACUGGUUUGGGUCGAAAGGCGCCACCGCGGGAGUCGGAGCCAGGAUCUGUCUCUCGAGAAGAUCAUCCACAACAGCUUCUUCAGAGAGUAACAAUCUGCGUGGCAUGUUCUUUACAAGAAGGAGCUUGUUUUCUGUGUGCCAUCUCAGGGCCAUUUCUCUGGUUGUGAGAGCAGAAACGUGAGGAACAAACACCAGAGCUUGUAGCGCGAUGAACAGAAGAAUCAAGACCCCAUGAUUGGAACAAGAACAAGAACAAGAACCCAUGAAUUGACUUGAGAAAACUUUCAUGAAACGGUAUGGGCGAAGAUGGAGGAGUUCUCCAGUGGCACAAUUCCUGUAGAGAUGAGCUUCUUGGGCUGGCCUUUGUUUAUGGCGUUUGCGUGAUGACGAAGGGUGGGUCCUAGAGCAAAUCCAGAGACGUUUUCAAGAUUCCACCACCUCUGUCUCUCAAUCAUAAGCUUCCUGCAACGGAAUCGAAGCAAAUAUAAGGCAGCUCUUUAGAAUAAUGAAGACUCUCUCUUUCUCUCUCUCUCUGACAAGUUUGAAUUGAAAGUUGAUGGUUAGUCGCUCUCUCACUCCACUUAUUGGCAUAUAAUCCUC
rnacentral:lncRNA from 1 species